rnacentral:rRNA from 1 species
ACGAGGGGUCCAAGCGUUGUUCGGAAUCAUUGGGCGUAAAGCGGGUGUAGGCGGCCUUAUAAGUCAGAAGUGAAAGCCCUGGGCUCAACCCGGGAAGUGCUUUUGAUACUGCAAGGCUUGAAUGUGGGAGAGGGUAGUGGAAUUCCUGGUGUAGUGGUGAAAUACGUAGAUAUCAGGAGGAACACCGGUGGCGAAGGCGGCUACCUGGCCCAACAUUGACGCUGAGACCCGAAAGCAUGGGGAUCAAACAGGAUUAGAUACCCUGGUAGUCCAUGCCAUAAACGAUGGAUACUUGGUGUUGGAGGUAUUGACCCCUUCAGUGCCGAAGCUAACGCGUUAAGUAUCCCGCCUGGGGAGUACGGCCGCAAGGUUA